UGAAAUGUUUGCGACCGAAAUGGAAGAGGGGAUCGUUGAAGACUGAGGUCUUGAAGUCACAGUACCUGAACAAACACACCAAUCAAUAGCAGAACAACAAACAAACGAAUAAACACAUGAUGAUGAUGAUGAUUGAGUACCAGCAGGAAAUGGAAUUGGAGAGGUGUGGGGAGCGGCGGAGAGGAAGAAGGGUGCGUGAGGGUGUGGCUCCGCUUGGUCUUCUUAUUGGUCUUCUUCCUGGUUGGAGUUGAAGAUUGGCUUCCGCCAUGGAUGAACUUGGAGCUCAGAUUUACUGAAUAUGGUUGAAGACGGGUUAGUUGCAAAUUUGAUCUCGGGCGGAUUUCGUCCUUAG
rnacentral:lncRNA from 1 species